rnacentral:rRNA from 1 species
AUGACUGCUCAUGCAGGGUGCUGGAUCAUUGAAAUUGAUGUUCCGGUUGAAUCAUCUUUCAAGCCUGAAGACCCUGAAAUACCUGGGAGAGUAUUCGAGAGUACAUUAUUGUUGAAUGAUGAUCCCCUUGACAAAACCAGGAGCAAUUUAAUUUCUAUCAGAGGUGGCUUUGUGAACAUCACCUCGGUGACUUUCAGCAAUGCGGUUUGCUCUUCAAUUCGAUUUGUACCUUGUUCUCACCCUGAUGACAGUUUCUAUGUGCACCCUAAAGUGGAGGGUGAGCUUGUAUUAUCUGUUGAAAAUUAUCCAGUUGGCUUCACUAUUUCCAAAAAUCAAGUUGAGGAUGAUGCUGUUCAUUUCAUGAGACGGAGUGGCACAAUAUUCGAACUUCCCUUGUCUCGGCAUGUUCUUGCACUGCCUGUUGAAUCUCGUGUACAUGUCUUGGGGACUUUGAAACUAGCGACUUUGGAAGUGCUUGUAGAUCAGUAUCUGGUGCUCGACAAGAAUGUUGUACGGGCUGGAUGGACUGUGGAAACGGGCCUGUAUGCUGCUAUAUGCAUUGAGUCAAGUUCUGUUUUCUAG